rnacentral:rRNA from 1 species
GAUGAACGCUAGCGGGAGGCUUAACACAUGCAAGUCGAGGGGCAGCAUAGGGUAGCAAUACUCUGAUGGCGACCGGCAAACGGGUGAGUAACGCGUAUGUAACCUACCCUGUACAGGGGGAUAACCCGGAGAAAUUCGGACUAAUAUCCCAUAACAAUAUCCGGGGGCAUCUUUGGAUAUUUAAAGUUCCGGCGGUACGGGAUGGGCAUGCGUAACAUUAGCUAGUUGGUAAGGUAACGGCUUACCAAGGCUUUGAUGUUUAGGGGUCCUGAGAGGGUGGUCCCCACACUGGUACUGAGACACGGACCAGACUCCUACGGGAGGCAGCAGUGAGGAAUAUUGGUCAAUGGGCGCAAGCCUGAACCAGCCAUCCCGCGUGCAGGAAGACGGCGCUAUGCGUUGUAAACUGCUUUUCCAGGGAGAGAAACUUGCGCACGUGUUGCGCAAUUGACGGUACCCUGGGAAUAAGCAUCGGCUAACUCCGUG